rnacentral:piRNA from 2 species
AGUGGUUGAGAAAGAAUAUGCUUAUC